GGGUCAUAGCUCAGUGGUAGAGCAUCAGCUUUGCAUGCAGAAAUGCCAGGUUCAAUUCCCAAUGGCAUAUCCAGGUAGACCUA